rnacentral:rRNA from 1 species
ACAUCCAGAGAAUUUAGCAGAGAUGCUUUAGUGCCUUCGGGAACUCUGAGACAGGUGCUGCAUGGCUGUCGUCAGCUCGUGUUGUGAAAUGUUGGUUAAGUCCCGNAACGAGCGCAACCUUUAUCCUUUGUUGCCAGCACGUAAUGGUGGGAACUCAAAGGAGACUGCCGGUGAUAAACCGGAGGAAGGUGGGGAUGACGUCAAGUCAUCAUGGCCCUUACGAGUAGGGCUACACACGUGCUACAAUGGCGCAUACAAAGAGAAGCGACCUCGCGAGAGCAAGCGGACCUCAUAAAGUGCGUCGUAGUCCGGAUUGGAGUCUGCAACUCGACUCCAUGAAGUCGGAAUCGCUAGUAAUCGUAAAUCAGAAUGUUACGGUGAAUACGUUCCCGGGCCUUGUACACACCGCCCGUCACACCAUGGGAGUGGGUUGCAAAAGAAGUAGAUAGCUUAACCUUCGGGAGGGCGUUUACCACUUUGUGAUUCAUGACUGGGGUGAAGUCGUAACAAGGUAGGCGUAGUGCU